rnacentral:rRNA from 1 species
CCUACGGGCGGCUGCAGUGGGGAAUAUUGGACAAUGGGCGAAAGCCUGAUCCAGCCAUGCCGCGUGUGUGAAGAAGGCCUUCGGGUUGUAAAGCACUUUCAGUGGGGAAGAAAGCCUUGGGGCUAAUACCCUCGAGGAAGGACAUCACCCACAGAAGAAGCACCGGCUAACUCCGUGCCAGCAGCCGCGGUAAUACGGAGGGUGCGAGCGUUAAUCGGAAUUACUGGGCGUAAAGCGCGCGUAGGCGGUCUGAUAAGCCGGUUGUGAAAGCCCCGGGAUCAACCUGGGAACGGCAUCCGGAACUGUCAGGCUAGAGUGCAGGAGAGGAAGGUAGAAUUCCCGGUGUAGCGGUGAAAUGCGUAGAGAUCGGGAGGAAUACCAGUGGCGAAGGCGGCCUUCUGGACUGACACUGACGCUGAGGUGCGAAAGCGUGGGUAGCAAACAGGAUUAGAUACCCGUGUAGUC